rnacentral:rRNA from 1 species
GACGAACGCUGGCGGCGUGCCUAAUACAUGCAAGUCGAACGAACCGCGACUAGGUGCUUGCACUUGGUCAAGGUGAGUGGCGAACGGGUGAGUAACACGUGGGUAACCUACCUCAUAGUGGGGGAUAACAGUCGGAAACGACUGCUAAUGCCGCAUAGGACAUAGGAUCACAUGAUCCAGUGAGGAAAGGUGGCGCAAGCUAUCGCUAAGAGAUGGACCCGCGGUGCAUUAGCUAGUUGGUAGGGUAAAGGCCUACCAAGGCGAUGAUGCAUAGCCGACCUGAGAGGGUGAUCGGCCACAUUGGGACUGAGACACGGCCCAAACUCCUACGGGAGGCAGCGGUAGGGAAUCUUCCGCAAUGGACGCAAGUCUGACGGAGCAACGCCGCGUGAGUGAAGAAGGUCUUCGGAUCGUAAAGCUCUGUUGUUAGAGAAGAACAGCGCAUAGAGUAACUGUUAUGCGUGUGACGGUAUCUAACCAGAAAGCCACGGCUAACUACGUG